rnacentral:rRNA from 1 species
GACGAACGCUGGCGGCGUGCUUAACACAUGCAAGUCGAACGGCAGCACGGACUUCGGUCUGGUGGCGAGUGGCGAACGGGUGAGUAAUGUAUCGGAACGUGCCCAGUCGUGGGGGAUAACGUAGUGAAAAUUACGCUAAUACCGCACACGAUCUAUGGAUGAAAGCGGGGGAUCGCAAGACCUCGCGCGAUUGGAGCGGCCGAUAUCAGAUUAGGUAGUUGGUGGGGUAAAGGCCCACCAAGCCAACGAUCUGUAGCUGGUCUGAGAGGACGACCAGCCACACUGGAACUGAGACACGGUCCAGACUCCUACGGGAGGCAGCAGUGGGGAAUUUUGGACAAUGGGCGAAAGCCUGAUCCAGCCAUUCCGCGUGCAGGAUGAAGGCCCUCGGGUUGUAAACUGCUUUUGUACAGAACGAAAAGGUUUCUACUAAUACUAGGAGCUCAUGACGGUACUGUAAGAAUAAGCACCGGCUAACUACGUGCCAGCAGCCGCCGUAA